rnacentral:rRNA from 1 species
GAUGAACGCUGGCGGCGUGCUUAACACAUGCAAGUCGAACGAUUAAGACGGCUUCGGCCGUGUAUAGAGUGGCGAACGGGUGAGUAACACGUGACCAACCUGCCCCGCGCUCCGGGACAACCGCUGGAGACGGCGGCUAAUACCGGAUGCUCCGGGGAGGCCCCAUGGCCUCCCCGGGAAAGCCCCGACGGCGCGGGAUGGGGUCGCGGCCCAUUAGGUAGACGGCGGGGUAACGGCCCACCGUGCCCGCGAUGGGUAGCCGGACUGAGAGGUCGACCGGCCACAUUGGGACUGAGAUACGGCCCAGACUCCUACGGGAGGCAGCAGUGGGGAAUUUUGCGCAAUGGGGGGAACCCUGACGCAGCAACGCCGCGUGCGGGACGAAGGCCUUCGGGUUGUAAACCGCUUUCAGCAGGGAAGAUUCAGACGGUACCUGCAGAAGAAGCU